GCCAAAAGCCGUUAGGCUAUUGAUGGCACUUACAUUGACAAGAAAUGCCCCAUAACUGGAAAUGUCUCCAUCCGUGGUCGUAUCCUCUCCGAUCAGUGCUUAGAUGUAUUCUAAGAUUGACCACACAUUGACCUGAUUCUGCCUUUUCAGGCGUGGUGACCAAGAUGAAGAGGACCAUCGUCAUCAGACGUGACUACCUGCAUUACAUCCGCAAAUACAACCGCUUUGAGAAGAGGCACAAGAACAUGUCGGUCCAUCUCUCACCUGCCUUCAGGGAUGGCUGUAACUCACUGUUGCACUACAGUUGAAGUUCCAUUAAAUCAGAUUUGAUGUUGGCUGCAAAUGUUUCUCACGAUCUUCCAAGCCCAUGUGGCUCUGACGACACUGCCUAAUGGCAACACUGAUGCAGUUGUCAUACCAAGAAAAGCACAGCUUAAUAAUGAUCGCAAUCCAUAAAUCAUUCUUAUUUUAUGUUCAUAUUAAAACAUACAAAACCAACAAGUGUCACUGCAAAAAUAUUGUUUUGGGGGACAAGUGUUAACAAAGAUAGAAAGUGUAGAAAUGUGAACAAAAUAAAAGCAAUUUAUUGUAGAAAAGAAAAGGACCAAGGCACUGACAACUUAACAAAUAAGGUAACUUCAUUAUUUCUUUUAACACAUUAACAAGGUGUAUAAAAAUAGAAUUUGAUUGAAGGAUUAUGGUCUGCUUUUAAAUAGCCCACCAUAGAAUACAGUACUUGGAACACAAUGCUGAGGUAAACAUCUGAGCGGACAGUGUGUCUGCAGUAGAAUUGCACAAACAUGUACCUGCAACAUCUGAUCUUAUGAUCACACAUGCACAUAUAAAUUAUCAGACACCCCAAAAUGCAUACUCCAGCAAAGAGAUACCAUGAAGAGACGGAGGGAGAGAAUGAUCAGAUAGGAAAAAGGAGAGACUCAAUGGAAGAAAAGUGCAACAGAAAAAAAGCACAGCAGGAAAGCAUAGGAGAUUCUCAUGGCUAACCUGAUGG